rnacentral:snRNA from 1 species
AUGCUUGCUUCAGCAGCACAUAUAUUAAAAUUGGAGCCAUAUAGAGGUGAGCGUGGCCCCUGCACAAGGAUGGCACACACAUUUGUAAAGUGUUCCAUAUGGGG